CCGGUAGCUCAGGUGGUUAGAGCGCACGCCUGAUAAGCGUGAGGUCGGAGGUUCAAGUCCUCCCAAGCC
rnacentral:ncRNA from 11 species